UCUUUGCUAGUAUAUCGGUUAGUACACGCGCCUGUCAUUAUCUAUCUAUGAUAUGCUAAUCGCGCGAAAGCUGGGUUCGACUCCCAGGCAAAGAG